AUAUUUCAGGAAUUUUGAAAGGAUGAACAAAGAUGGCCUUUUCUCAUUUCAAGCAAGGUUGGUUAGAACAAAUAAAUUUUGACCUCAUCCAGUGUAAUGAUUUGCACUUGUAAGAAUCAUGAUUCGUGAGUCCAUAACUACUGAAUCCACUACAUGUCAUUAUGCAUAUUGCUAAAA